AAUCAAUGGAAAGGAUUUAGUUGAUUGGUUAAUGCAAAUAAGUUAAAUGUAUGGUAAACCAUAAUGAUUGGUUAAUAGUUUGCCACUCCUUUUGUACUAUCCUUGUCUUUUACCUAUAUAAUGUGUUACAUUUAUGCCAAAGUUGUGGUUCUUUCAACCUGCCCCAGAGUUUCUAACUCUGUGUUGGAAGGUUUAAAGAAUUAUCCAGCGCUGUCAGAAUAAAGAAUCGAUUCCAGCAACAAGGGUUUGAAUCAAGUUUUCUUGAAUUAGACUGGCAAAAAGAACUCAUUUUAACAUUUGGUGUCAGAAGUGGGAUUCAGACGGUUCACCGACAACACGAGGAACGAAAAUAAGCGUUAAACUGCGCACUGAUUGGACCAGAGGAAUUGGCCAAGCAGAAGUGAGUAGUUAAACACCACUCUGUUUUCCUCUUCUCCGUAUAUCGCUGCGUAGUCGACCCUUCGUUCUUGUGUUGAACGGGAUCCAGACAGAAUCAGGUCAGUCUAACAAACCUUGUUGAUUGGUAAGAUUGGUCAUUAGGAAUGAUCAAAGGUGAACAGACUCGUCCAUUAGGAAUGGGGAGUCUUAGUCAUUGGGAAUGCUCCAUUAGGAAUGGAGAAACUUGGUCAUUAGGAAUGAUCAAAGGUAAAUGCCGGCUGAACUGGAUAAAUUUAUCCUGACCAUUUGGAAUGGCAGGAGAUAGUGAUUUGGAAACAGGGUCAGCUAAACACUGACAGUGCUAAAUUUAUCCUGACCAUUUGGAAUGGCAGGAGAUAGUUAGAAAGAUUUGGAAACAGGGUCGGCUAAUCACUGACAGUGCUAAAUUAAUCUCGACCAUUUGGAAUGGUGCGAAGUAAUUAAAAACAAUUGAAUUCGGAUCCAGUGAAAAUAAGAAAUAGUAAAACGUUAACGUAAUUAUUAUAUUGUUAUAAGAAUAUUAAUACUGUGUAUAGAUUAAAUUGGUUGUGAAUAUAGUACUGAUCAGUGUGAUAAAUAUAUUAAUUGUGAUAAGUGAAUUAAGAUGGGUAAUCACUUAGAUAACACCAAGAGUUCUAGCAGCCCAUUGCAGAUUUUAUGUGACAAAUAUCCUGAAAGUUCUCAGCAAUUCCGAGAAUUAUCAGGGGCAUUAAAUCAGAAAUUAGGUAACAAACAAUGGCCUCUGGGGGGGUCCUAGAAAUCCAGAUCUGGUAAAAACAAGCCCAAGAAUUAAUAUGGAAAAGAAAUGCGAAUAAAAAGAGUAAAAAUUGAUUGAAUUAUGGCGAAAUUGGCGUGAGGAGGAAUUAGAUAUAAAUUUAAUGUUGAGGUAAUGAGACGAGAGUGUGCACACGAAAGGACUAGAGGACAGGAGAGAGAAGGAAAAAGGUUUUAAAAAAAAGGGACUGCGCAGUUUAAAUGGUUGGCCUUCAAUUAGCAGAGGGAGACGAAAGGGAGGUAUGGGAAAAUCAGAAAAGUCUGAGCCCCAGUCAGUGGCGACAGGAAUUUAACCAAAUUUACCUAGGACAGGAUCAGAAAUCGAUAGUGCACCAAGCCCAGGCACCAAAAAAAAAUUGGAGAAGCCCCAGUUUAGACUCUGUAGCAUGGCAUACAUGGUCACAGUCUAGAGACCAGGAGCAAGAAGGACGAGAGGAAAGGAGGUCACACAGUUGGGACUAUAAAAGGGAGCACUUGGCUGAGAAAACCACACCCCAGAAGCAACAAGGGAAGGUGCUGAAAUAGACGGAAUAAGAAAGCAUCUUCCAGGCGCCAAUAUUCCGUCAGAACGGUCCCUAACCCCAGAGCCCUUAUACCUCCUCCACCCAACCAACAAGAUUAUGGCGAAACAGGCAUGAAUAAUGUAUGGCUGCCGUGGAAGCCAAAUGAGAUGAUGGCAAUUUUGUUGGGAGUGCCUAAGAAACGGAAUCCACAAGCUUUCAUUGAAUUUUUAAGAACAACGAUAUCUGUAUAUCACGCUGAUUCCCGAGAAUUAUGGGUACUAGUUCAGCAAGUUUUAACAGCGAUUGAGUAUACCAGAUUCUUGGUUCAUUUAACCUAGAACAACCAUGCAGCCCUAGCGGUGGCGCACCCAGGGGCAGGUAACAAUGAGCAUCGAUUACAGCUUAUGCUGGCAGCCGUGUGCCUCACUCUCCAGCAGCCAAUCGAUAUAUCAAAGGUUUUGGAUAUGAAAUCAGGGGAAGGAGAGGCUGCAGAAGAUUUUCUGGGAAGGUUUAAAAAACCCAUCUACGGCAACCAGUCAGGUGACACUCAGUAUCAGCAAGGAAAUGACUGGCCACGGUUUUGUGCUAUGGUUAUGAACUGUUUGCCUUCCAGCGUUGCAAUGGGUAUUUAAACCAAUAAUAUGGACUGGUCAGAGUCUUCAUCAGCCCGCAUGUCAAGAGCUGUGAGAGCCUUUUGGAAAGACUGUCCUAUUGGAGACAGUGAAGCCCAGGUAAAGGUAAAAACGAAUAUGUGAUGAGAGAAACGAGAGAAUUUCCACCAGUGACUGUCCCUGACUGAAUGGGCUAACAAAUCUGGAUGUUACCCUGUUUACGGAUGGCAGCUCAUCCAUUGUUGAAAAGGGAGAAUGGUUGUCAGGCAGUGAUUGUUAAUCAGGAGGGAACGACCAUUGAAGCAGCAUCUUUUGAGGCUCCCUUCUAAGCCCAGCUAGCCGAACUAUUUGCGUUGACUAGAGCCUGCACCCUGGCCGAAGAACUAUCUGCAAAUAUUUACACGGACUGCCAAUAUCCUUUUCGAGUGGUUCCUGAUAUGGACAAUUAUGGAAGAAUCGGGGGUUUCUAACCUCUUCAGGGACAGUGAUAUCUCACAAAAAUGGUUUCUAAUUUGCUACAGGCCAUUCAGUUACCCGGUCAGCAUGCUGGUGCCAACGUUAAAGUCCAUACUAUAGGUUAAAACCCCAGAGACAUAGGAAAUUGCCUUGCCGACGAUGCGGCUAAGAAAGCUUUUAGGAGUCACCAAAUUGUUGGGCCCCACAUGAUGAGGCAGACUAAAAAUUAUACUAGGAAUAAGUCUCCCUCGAAAAAAGGAAUGCCAACCAUCCAAGAAGUACUUUAAAUAUAGGAGGACGCUCCUGCAAAGGUAGAACAGCUGUGGCAGGACCAGGGUUGUCUGUACGAUCCUGUCACUAGCUUAUGGGUUACGCCUGGCGGACAGACUUGCAGGUCUGACGAGCUUGCGUUGUGGGUUAUUGAAUUUGUACACUUUGCAACACAUUGUGGGGCCAAUGCUGUAAGUGAUAUGCUUUUAGAGACCUGGUGGCAUCUGAAACUUCUGACUUGUCCCGGCGUAUCAGCCAGCGAUGUCUGAUUUGCUAGCAGCAUAAUCCAGGUGAAGGCUUGCCCUGUGAACCAGAUUCCUUUACCAGCAGGUCCCUUUGAGACCUUUCAAAUGGACUACAUUGAGUUGGAAAGAUGUCAGUGUUAUAAGUAUGUUUUUGUAAUUAUUUGUGUUUUUAGUAAAUGAAAAAUUAGUGUAAACGCCUCUCAUGUGUGUGGUAGCAUUAUGUUUUUGAAUUAAUGCUGAAGUUAAGUCUUUUAUUUGUUGUAAAUCACAUGUUAUAAGUGUAGGUGUGUGUCGCUUUAAAAAAACUGUAAGCAGGAGGGUGAAGUUUUUUUACAGCUACCCUCGGCUGUGAAUUUAACCUCUCAAUUUAAAAGGGGAAAUAAGUUGAUUGCUGAAACACAACCAGCUUUAAUGGUUUGUUUAGAUAACCAUUCUGGUUGGAGAAGGGUAAUAAAUCAAUGGAGCCAGGGAAGAAGGCAACUGACUGAUAAUGGGUUAAUCAUGAGUUAAAUUGAUAUUUUGCUAAAUCACUGGAAUAUAACAUAUUUGAUCACUCCUGUUUGACAGAAAAAUUGAAAGUUUGUUGGGUUUAUUUUAAUCCGUUGUAUUUUACCUGUUUUUAAGAUGCAAAUAGUAUUAUGUGACAAUCCAGCUGAGAUUUCAAAGUGGAUUGAUUGGAUUGUUUGCUGAAAUUUUCAGAAACAGACAGUGUAUUGGAUAGUAUGGAGAACUAUAGAAGAUGGGCAUAAUAAGAAUACAGACCACUCCAUCUGGUACAGCAAGAAUAACGCCUGUGGAAAUCCUAUGUAUUAACUUUCACCUGUGCUUUGCGAACUACUUAUUUACAGGUCAGGGUUGCAUAUGGUGUGGCGCCAGCACUCAAAGUUCCAUCUAAUACUGAGCCAGGUUGCUAUGUGCUGAUCAGGAACUGGACGCGUAAGCACUUGGACCCACGUUGGGAUGGAAUCUCACCACUCCGACCGCUGCCAAGGUCGAGGGUCGUGCUGCAUGGGUUCACCUGCACCACUGCAAAUUGAUUGGGGAGCCCAAUCAAAAGGGGGAAAAGAGUAAUUUUAUUUUCAACUCAAGAGUUUUUAGUUUUUACAUUUCUGCUUUGUUUGGGAGUUGUAUCAUUAUAAGUUUAGUUGUAUUAUUAUAAGUUUAAUUUUGAAACCUUAUUUUGCCAUAUGGUUAAGAAUAUGCGACUGAUUACUGGACUGACUGACUGAAGGACGUUUAAAUUGAGUAAAUAGUUGUUUAAGCUAAUUAAGUAAGAAAUGAGUUUUUGUGAGCCUUUGCUUAUUCCAGAUAGAUUAAAAUGAGGCGAUUUAUCCUGCUCUGCAUCCUGAUGUUACAACAGAUGGAGGGAAAUUAAGGAAAAAUUUGACGAUAUGUCCUGGGACAAUUAAGCAGAAUCUUUCACCUCUGCAAAGGAGAUGUGGUACAGUGCAAUGGCCCGGAUGCCUUUGGAAUCUGAAAUGUCACCAAGAUUGACUAAUGCAAUGGGAUACUGCGUCAGCCUGAUCGACAGGUAGACUUAGAUAACCGACACCCUGUGGGAAUUACCCUAUUGGUUUCGAGGGUGCAAGUUUGACUUUUUCUGCAGACGGAAUCUCUUGGAAGAAAACUCGGCAAAGGGACAUAUGUAUGAUGGACUAUGCUAUCGAGAAGCAUUAGAGGUAUCUUUGGUUACAGAAGAAAGGACAUGGGCAAAAGAGACAGUAAAAAUGGGCAUUGGAAGAAAGAGACUCUACCAUGUUUGGACGAGCCCAUAAUGAAUUAUUUGGUGAAGGGCAAGUUGUGUGUUACCCUGCUAUGACAUCUGUUGUUAACCUAUUUAUAGUAUCUCCCGAGUGGGGAAGGAUUGAACGAUUAGUAAAAUGUAAAGAUGAGAAGCCAUUUCCGGUGGAAACUGUCACCAUCCCUAAUGACGAGUCCUUAGCCCCACUAGCUAACUGUUUGCCACUACCUCGUGACAAUGAGCAUUCUUACCAGGGUUGUGAGGAUACACAAUGUACAAUUUUGGUCGCCUAACUAUAGGAAGGAUGUCAACAAAAUAGAGAGAGUACAGAGAAGUUUAGGGGUAACAUGCGAGGAAACCUCUUUACUCGGAGAGUGGUAGCUGUGUGGAAUGAGCUUCCAGUGGAAGUGGUGGAGGCAGGUUCGAUGUUAUCAUUUAAAAAUAAAUUGUAUAGCUAUUUGGACGGGAAAAGAAUGGAGGGUUAUGGUCUGAGUACAGGUAACUGGGACUAGGAGAAUAAGUGUUCGGCAGGGACUAGAUGGGACGAGAUGGCCUGUUUCUGUGCUGUAAUUGUUAUAUGGUUAUAGAAUUAGAUCAUUGGUAUGGCCAUAUGAGCAGCAAUAGUGGUUUUGUGUUUGUUCAUGGGAAUUGCUAUUGUUAGAUGUAUUAGUGCUAGACUAAUGACAGCCUUGGGUAAUGUGGAAACUGGUGAGAAGAUAUUAUUGCAACAUCUAGAAGAAGAAAUUCCAAUGUUGAAGGAUGAGGAUGUUGAAAGGAUGGUAAAUGCGCAGGUUGAAAAAGAAUUGUUAGCAGAUAAAUGUAUUAGAAUGAAUAAAUUGGAGAUGGACUAGUGGUAUGAAGCCUAGAAUAGUUGAGAACCCUAAGGGCUAGGGUUUGAAGCAUAGCAGAGAAGUAGGGAACAGCAUUGGUGUCAACAAGCCAACCUGCCGACCUACGUGGUCCGGGUUUUGGGGGCUAUAAAGCAUCCGAGGUUAGGUAUAAACUUGGAUGACUAAUAAGCCAAUGCUGAUGAAUUUCUGUUGUGUUAUUAUCCUAUUAGUGGUCAUAAUAUGACCAGAAGAGGGAAUGAGAAAAUAUAUUAUAAAAUUGUUCAAAUGAUAAGUUCUUAAGGAUCUUGUGUUAAGUUGCAAGAGAAGGGUUUGGAGUUGGGGCUUUCAGAAAUACAUGCCUCCACAAAGAAAUAAAGAACAAAGAACACACACAGGAGAACAGAUGGCUUAUCAUAAACAUGGAAAGGGUGAUCUGGAUAGGCAUAUCUAUUCUUUAUUGCUUUGGAGCAACAAUCAUGUUGUGAGAAGGUGUAGUUGGUUUAGGUUGGUGUUUAUAAUAGAGAUUGUUGAUGGGUCUUUCUCCAUGACAUGGGCACCAUCCUUCUUCCUUUGUGACACAUCUCAGAGUUUGGCUGUGUCAUCUAAGGCGAUUUAUGAUUGUCUAUGUUGGAUUGUAGGCACCAAGGGUAGAUACUAUUCUGUGAGAUGGUUUGUGCUGUUUAGAUGUGUUUAUGUUGGGAUAAAAGAUAAGGCAUAGAUGAUGGUUGUGUGACCUUUGCAAAAGGAUUUCUUAUGUGUAUAAAAAACUGAGAAAGUAACUCUGUUUUAAUCUAAGCCAAACGAUUGGGGGCUGCAUAUAGUAAUCUUCUAUUUGCUGUGUGGAAUGCUAUUCGUGGGGGGGUUGUAAAGAGACCUUACAUUCCUUUCCUCCACUGAUAGUAGGAGGUUGUAAUUCAGAAUGAAACUAGACCCGAGCUUGGAAGGAGGAAUUAUAAUUUAUCAAGUGUGACAAGUAUAUGGCCUUUGUGAGCUUGGAGGUGGGAAUUGUGUGAUUAGAACUUUGUCUUUACCACUUUGUAAGAAUGGGGUAAAACUCAUCUUUAAUCUUUGUAAUCCAUAAGUAACUGUAUUUUAACUAAGUGGUUGUAAGGAAAUUAAUUGUGAAGUGUAUUGUGUUUAAUUAUGAUUGUAAGUAUUUAGACUUUGGUUAAAUCUGAAGUUUUAGAAAUAACUUUCUUUUCCAAAAGUGAAAAUAUGUUUUGUAUGUAUGUGUUGUGUGAUUGCUAUAUUAUGUGUAUAUUAUGAGAAGUAUUCUGUGAGAAUUAGUUUUAUAUGUGGUUUUACUUUAAUGAAAUAAAAUGAUUUUGAGCAAAGAGGUUGAAGAAACCACAGAGGGGAAGAAGGUUGUAAAGGGGCUGGAAAAGGGAAAAUCAUGUGACUAUACGUGUUGUCAAUCAAUGGAAAGGAUUUAGUUGAUUGGUUAAUGCAAAUAAGUUAAAUGUAUGGUAAACCAUAAUGAUUGGUUAAUAGUUUGCCACUCCUUUUGUACUAUCCUUGUCUUUUACCUAUAUAAUGUGUUACAUUUAUGCCAAAGUUGUGGUUCUUUCAACCUGCCCCAGAGUUUCUAACUCUGUGUUGGAAGGUUUAAAGAAUUAUCCAGCGCUGUCAGAAUAAAGAAUCGAUUCCAGCAACAA